GCGCCCCCGCCGAGCUGCCGCGCCCGGGCGGCCGUCAGGGUGCGGGUGAGCAGAACCGGGAACCGGCUUGGGAGGUCUCGUUACUGCGAUCGUCAGAGAGAAGGAGGCGCCAGGGUCCCCGGCUCAAGCACGCACACGCGGGGCCGCCAGGAUGACGGGACCGCCCAGGAUCCGCUGGGCAGAAGCAGCACAAAUCUGUGCAAGGAGAAACGGCUUCUCUCGUUUUCGUUGGUAGCUGUGCAUCUAGCGAGAGAACAUCCCGACGUACGGUUGACUGAGCCUCAGAGACAGGCGGACGGGUAUGGACAGACGUCACGUAUUUUCCCUGAUGGCCUUUCUCCACUGGGGGUUCGGGAGGAAGACCAGUCCACCCAGAUUUCUAACUCUGGUUCUCCUUGGGCAUACGCACCUGAAAAUCACUGGGAAGAGACUGUGCAGGAAAUCUCGGGAUUCCAAUCCAGCUGCUCUGUAAGAGGGAGAAUUUAGAAACGGGCACUACUUGCACAGGUGUUCUGUGAUGCACCCCAGUCCAGAAAACAACCUUUCAACGCAGCCCUGCUUCUGAUACAUCUCAGAGAGUUUUUGGUUAGAUCAAGACAUGUCGCGAAAUAAUGUUAAGUCAUUUUACACAUAAAUAUAUCAUUAAAAUACAACAGAUGGGUGAAAAGGUGUCAGAAAAAACCAAGCCCUACCUGGUUUGAAUGCUGGGCCGGGAAUUCUAGCAAUGAACAGCUUUAAGUAAAUUAUCUUUUCUUUUUUUAAAUGAAGUCAUUUAUAAAAUAUAAGACCAUAUGGUUCUGUGUAUUUCAUGGAGGCUGCUCAAGUAAGACAAAUUCAUGUAAGUAUAAAAGGAAGCUUACCUUUAGGAAAGAAGUGACCGCAUAACUCCACAUUUUUCUCCAAUUCAUUGUACGGGCAUCAUCUCAAUGUUUGUACCCAGACACUAUCUCUCAUUCUAUCUAAUGUAAGUUAGUUUAUUCCCGGAUUUCCUAUUUGUUUUGCCUAGAAUUUAGCCCUUGGUUCCAUGUUACCUCCAGAACAGGUUUAUUUACCUCAUUUCCUUAGCUUGGUGAAUAUGAAGGGGGGGAUGUGGUCUGAGCCAGUGGUUUGGGGCCAACAACUUGGGGUGUAGACUUGGGGAAGGCCCAGAAGACCAAAACAGUUACUUGCACACAACUCAGGUUAUAGCAUGAAAUUACCUGCAAGAGUGCAAAGAGAAGGCAAGUGUAUCAGAGAAAAGGAAAAGUGGUAGGGCACGAAGUGUACUUUGCAUCAAUGAGCACAUGUUUCAAAGACUUAGCACCACCCAACAAAGGACCCACAACAGCCCUAGUUCUUUCCAGACUCCACCAGCAUUUUCUACACUGAACCUAAUGCUUGGCUUGAUCAGCAGACUACUUUUUCCAGUUUCUGCUUUAAGAGGUAUUAUUUACAUAGAAAAAACAUGAAUUAUCUCACAAAUUGAUAUGGAAAAUACGUCUCUUUAAAAAAUAAAUUAUGGGGCACCUGGGUGGCUCAGUGGGUUAAAGCCUCUGCCUUCGGCUAGGCUCAGGUUAUGAUCCCAGGGUCCUGGGAUCCAGCUGGCACCCGGCAUCCACAUCGCAUCUCGCUCUCUGCUCAGCCGGGAGCCUGCCUGCCCCCCACUCCCGCCUCUCUGCCUACUUGUGAUCUCUGUCUGUCAAAGAAAUAAAUAAAAUCUUAAAAAAAAAAUUACAUCCUUACCUUACACUGAGAAGAACCCAAUGACCUAAAUAUUGUAAAAACUAAAAAUCAUUUUCCAAUAGUUAGAAGAAAUUGUGGGUGGGUAGUUGUAAUAAUGGAGGUGGAGAAGACCAUCCUAAGAGCAAAAGCAAUGGUUUUUAUCACAAAAGGUAAGAGUGAUAACUUUGGCUGUAUAAAAAUAUAUGAAUCCUGUAAGUCAAAACCAGAUACAGACCAAAUUUAAAAUAUGCCCUUUGGUGUUACAACUUUGACCCUUUAUAAAGAGGGGUCUUCUAACACCCUCCCUCCUGCUUUGUUCACAUGUGAGGAUCAACUCGGGUGUCUUGGGACUGGUGGAGAGGGAUACUUCACAGUUACAAUGCUGGGGACUCCCUUGAGUCCCGACCUCGGUGUGUUUCUGGUUUGCUAGUAUGUAGCAAUGUGUUCACGCAGGUGCCACGGAAAUGCGUUGCUUUUAUUCUGCCCUUGCUAUUAUGUUUCAUGUUACCUUCUUGUUUUUGCAUUAAAGAUUGACUUGAGAACGUAGUCUUAAGCAUGUAAUGCAGAAUAAGUAUGAAAAAGCUUCAGGAAUGCAGAUGAACAGCAUAUUAUAGAGAAAUAGGUAAAUAGAAAGUGUUACAUUGUAUCACCUUAAGUAAAAUAAACAAGUGAAGUAAACAGGUCCAUUCCAGUGUUUUUCAUGAAUGGUGGC
ensembl:lincRNA